UACGUAGGUGGCAAGCGUUGUCCGGAAUUAUUGGGCGUAAAGGGCUCGUAGGCGGUUUGUCGCGUCGGGAGUGAAAACACUGGGCUUAACUCAGUGCUGGAUUUCGAUACGGGCAGACUAGAGGUAUGCAGGGGAGAACGGAAUUCCUGGUGUAGCGGUGAAAUGCGCAGAUAUCAGGAGGAACACCGGUGGCGAAGGCGGUUCUCUGGGCAUUACCUGACGCUGAGGAGCGAAAGUGUGGGGAGCGAACAGG
rnacentral:misc_RNA from 1 species